UAAUUACCUCGUAACACUCCAACAUGUGA
rnacentral:sRNA from 1 species